rnacentral:rRNA from 1 species
CGAGCAAUCUGCCCUUCUCUUUGGAAUAAGCGUUGGAAACGACGUCUAAUGCCGAAUACGACCUCCUUUCGCAUGAUCGGAGGUGGAAAGCUCCGGCGGAGAAGGAUGAGCUCGCGGCCUAUCAGCUAGUUGGUGUGGGUAAUGGCCCACCAAGGCGACGACGGGUAGCCGGCCUGAGAGGGUGACCGGCCAUACUGGGACUGAGACACGGCCGAGACUCCUACGGGAGGNAGCG